CAAAGCCUAAAUUAUUACUCUCUGGCCCUUGACAGAAAGUUUGUUGACCUCUGGUCUAGACCCAAGAAGAUUGAUUCUGUCUGGCUGUUGCUGAGGGGGGUUAAGAGGAUGAGGGAUUGAACUCAAGGUGCAUCCACCGAGCCUCAGAUGGGCAGAGAUGAGAACGUAAUUGUCUCCCACCACCUGAGCAAUGUUCUGAAUACGUUAGAGGCAGAGCAGGAUAGUGGUUGAACUCAAGGACUCAGGACCCAGGCACCUGGAUCCAAUCCUAGUUCUGUGACUUGCCAGUUGUGUGACCUUAGGUGCCUUAGGAGACCCACUAUUAUUUUUUUCACUUUACAGAGGAGGAAAUGAGGAUGAAAGAGAUGUCAACUGACUGGUCCACCAACAUCCAGCUGGUGAAUAGCACCCAGGCCUUGAACACUUCUGACCGGAAGCACUCCUAUCUUCCCCUCUGAACAUUACAGUUUAAAAAUUAAAGAAUGGAUCAACUCAGGCCACAAAGGAGUAGGAUUAUAUAAAGAUGAUGAUGGAGACUGAAAUAAAUUCACUUUUGUCUGAAAUAACGGUCACAAAGAGCAAGGAGUUCAAAAUUCACAUUUUGAUUUAAGUCUCUGGCUAUCAGGGUUAAAAUUAUAGCAUUUAAAAUGCCAGAGUUAAGAGAAAAAAAGGAAAUUGCUGUGUAAAGUUAGCAAAGAAAAGAGGACCAUUAAAACAGCAGGAAUGAAUCAAACCCAGAGAGCAUGAAACAAGAAGACAUCAGCCGGCUCAAACUUACCAGUUAUGACUGUGGGGAGAGGCCAAGCCUCCCGGCUCCCGUUUAACUAUAAAUCGAGACAAAGUGACAGAAAAAGGUUGGGAGUAAAAGACAGAGCAAGGAGUUACCUUAAAAAUACAAGUGAAAAGCGGCCAAGGAC
rnacentral:lncRNA from 1 species